ACAACAUUCGGACUGUCGGUCUUCCAAGCAAGUUUACUCGCUCGGUGUAAGUUCUUUCCUUCGUCUU
rnacentral:pre_miRNA from 1 species